rnacentral:rRNA from 1 species
CCUACGGGAGGCAGCAGUAGGGAAUAUUGCUCAAUGGGGGAAACCCUGAAGCAGCAACGCCGCGUGGAGGAUGAAGGUUUUCGGAUUGUAAACUCCUUUUGUUAGAGAAGAUAAUGACGGUAUCUAACGAAUAAGCACCGGCUAACUCCGGGCCAGCAGCCGCGGUAAUACGGAGGGUGCAAGCGUUACUCGGAAUCACUGGGCGUAAAGAGCGCGUAGGCGGGUUAGCAAGUCAGAUGUGAAAUCCUAUGGCUUAACCAUAGAAGUGAAGUUGAAACUGUUAUUCUAGAGUAGGGGAGAGGUAGGUGGAAUGCUUGGUGUAGGGGUGAAAUGCGUAGAGAUCAAGAGGAAUACUCAUUGCGAAGGCGACCUGCUAGAACAUAACUGACGCUGAUGCGCGAAAGCGUGGGGAGUAAACAGGAUUAGAUACCCGUGUAGUC